rnacentral:rRNA from 1 species
UACGUAGGUGGCAAGCGUUGUCCGGAAUUAUUGGGCGUAAAGCGCACGUAGGCGGUUCGUUAAGUCGGAUGUGAAAGCCCUAGGCUCAACCUAGGAAGUGCAUUCGAAACUGGCGAGCUUGAAUAUGGAAGAGGGUCGCGGAAUUCCCGGUGUAGAGGUGAAAUUCGUAGAUAUCGGGAGGAACACCAGUGGCGAAGGCGGCGACCUGGGCCAAUAUUGACGCUGAGGUGCGAAAGCGUGGGGAGCAAACAGG